rnacentral:rRNA from 1 species
UGCCAGCCGCCGCGGUAAUACGGAGGGUGCAAACGUUGUUCGGAAUCACUGGGCAUAAAGCGCACGUAGGCGGCCCGUUAAGUGUGGAGUGAAAGCCCACGGCUCACCCGUGGAACUGCUCUGCAUACUGGCGAGCUCGAGGACGGUAGGGGAGAGCGGAACUCUUGGUGGAGCGGUGAAAUGCGUAGAUAUCAAGAGGAACACCGAUGGCGAAGGCAGCUCUCUGGUCCGUUUCUGACGCUGAAGUGCGAAAGCUAGGGUAGCGAACGGGAUUAGAUAC